rnacentral:lncRNA from 1 species
UUGUGUAAUUGUAUUAUAUUGAUGAAAUUAUUUAAGAGCAGAAUGAGGAAAUAAAGAAAUCAUAAUCCUCAUCUUUUCAUCGAUUGAGCUAUGACUAAUUUAGAGGACUAAAUUUUCUUUUAAGGGGGGAGAGUGUAAGGAUUUAUAUGUAAAUUGGAGGACCUAUAUGUAAAUAUAGAAAUUUCAAAGACUAAACUGUUAAGUUAUAAAAAGAAAAAAUAAAGAAAACCGAAAAUUUCGGUUUUAUCCCACCGCCUCCCACCUCUCUCUGUUUCUCGAGUGGAGCGGUGGGGCGUGGGGAGAAGAAGAAGAGAAGUAGAGGGAGAAGAGAAGAAGAGGGAGAAGAAGAGGAGGAAGAAGAGGGAGAAGAGAAGAAAAGAAGAAGAAGAAGAAGAAGAGAGGGAAGAUGGAGAGGAGAGAGAGAGGCAGCAGCUACAACUAGGGCUGCAGCACCUCUGUUUCCACCAGGUGGAAACAGAGGAGAGGAUGUGUGGGGCGUUGGGGAGGAGAAGGGAAGAAGAAGAAAAAGAAGAAGAAGAAGAAGAAGAGAGGAGGAUAGCUGUGGCAAGGCUGCAGCGAGGAGGUGUGUGGCGUUGGGGAGGAAAAGGGAAGAGGAGAAGAAGAGGGAAAAUAGAGGNN